UGGGGAAUAUUGGACAAUGGGCGAAAGCCUGAUCCAGCCAUGCCGCGUGUGUGAAGAAGGUCUUCGGAUUGUAAAGCACUUUAAGUUGGGAGGAAGGGCAGUAAGCGAAUACCUUGCUGUUUUGACGUUACCGACAGAAUAAGCACCGGCUAACUCUGUGCCAGCAGCCGCGGUAAUACAGAGGGUGCAAGCGUCAAUCGGAAUUACUGGGCGUAAAGCGCGCGUAGGUGGUUCGUUAAGUUGAAUGUGAAAGCCCCGGGCUCAACCUGGGAACUGCAUCCAAAACUGGCGAGCUAGAGUAGGGCAGAGGGUGGUGGAAUUUCCUGUGUAGCGGAGAAAUGCGUAGAUAUAGGAAGGAACACCAGUGGCGAAGGCGACCACCUGGGCUCAUACUGACACUGAGGUGCGAAAGCGUGGGGAGCAAACAGG
rnacentral:rRNA from 1 species